UACGUAGGGUCCGAGCGCUGUCCGGAAUUAUUGGGCGUAAAGCGCGCGCAGGCGGUUCCUUAAGUCUGAUGUGAAAGCCCACAGCUCAACUGUGGAGGGCCAUUGGAAACUGGGGAACUUGAGUACAGAAGAGGAGAGCGGAAUUCCACGUGUAGCGGUGAAAUGCGUAGACAUGUGGAGGAACACCAGUGGCGAAGGCGGCUCUCUGGUCUGUAACUGACGCUGAGGCGCGAAAGCGUGGGUAGCAAACAGG
rnacentral:misc_RNA from 1 species